GAGAUAGUGGCGGACGGGUGAGUAACGCGUGAACAACCUACCUUGUACAGGGGGAUAACACAUGGAAACGUGUGCUAAUACCGUAUAAGACCACAGUGCCGCAUGGCACAGGGGUCAAAGGAGCAAUCCGGUAUAAGAGGGGUUCGCGUCCCAUUAGCUAGUUGGUGGAGUAACGGUUCACCAAGGCAACGAUGGGUAUCCGAGCUGAGAGGCUGAACGGACACACUGGGACUGAGAUACGGCCCAGACUCCUACGGGAGGCAGCAGGGAGGAAUAUUGGUCAAUGGGGGAAACCCUGAGCCAGCAACGCCGCGUGAAGGAAGAAGGCCCUCGGGUUGUAAACUUCUGUUUUCAGGGACGAAGAAAGUGACGGUACCUGAAGAGAAAGCUCCGGCAAACUACGUGCCAGCAGCCGCGGUAAUACGUAGGGAGCGAGCGUUGUCCGGAAUCACUGGGCGUAAAGGGCGCGUAGGCGGUUUUACAAGUUGCAUGUGAAAGACCAUGGCUUAACCAUGGGGUGUCAUGCAAAACUGUAGGGCUUGAGUGCAGUAGAGGAAAGCGGAAUUCCUGGUGUAGCGGUAAAAUGCGUAGAGAUCAGGAGGAACACCGGUGGCGAAGGCGGCUUUCUGGGCUGUAACUGACGCUGAGGCGCGAAAGCGUGGGGAGCGAACAGGAUUAGAUACCCUGGUAGUCCACCCCGUAAACGAUGAAUAUUAGGUGUAGGCCUUUAAGGUCUGUGCCGGAGCAAACGCAAUAAAUAUUCCGCCUGGGGAGUACGGCCGCAAGGUUGAAACUCAAAAGAAUUGACGG
rnacentral:rRNA from 1 species